CGCCUGAAGUAGAGCUCAUUGUUGAGGACUUUAAAGACUUUCGAGCUCUCCGCAGGUUAAUUCUGAAAUAUUGAGCCUCAGUAGCAAGAGGAUAAAUAAGGGGGUGGUAUUAGAUGAGAUUGGAACUGAAAAGCACCAAAGGAGAAGGUUGUCAAGCAAGGUAUUUGAGGAUAUAAACAACAUGGCAUCUUUUUAAGAGUUGAGAAAGAUGUAGCAGGUUAGAGCUUCUGGUCUCGAACAUAAGCUUGGCCAUUAAGUUAUAAAUUUCUUCUUCAUCUCUAUUUCGAUGUCUGAUGGAAAAUAAGGAAAGAGAAGGAGAGAAAAAAAGGUAAAUGGUGUAACUAAAUCCGUUAAUUGAAGACACUAAUAAUGGAUUGGGAGCCUUUUAAGGUGGAAUGUAUAUAUUUGUAAACAAAACUUAUGUAGGUA
rnacentral:lncRNA from 1 species